UACGCAGGGGGCUAGCGUUGCUCGGAAUCACUGGGCGUAAAGGGUGCGUAGGCGGGUUUUUAAGUCAGAGGUGAAAUCCUGGAGCUCAACUCCAGAACUGCCUUUGAUACUGAAAGUCUUGAGUAUGGGAGAGGUGAGUGGAACUGCGAGUGUAGAGGUGAAAUUCGUAGAUAUUCGCAAGAACACCAGUGGCGAAGGCGGCUCACUGGCCCAUAACUGACGCUGAGGCACGAAAGCGUGGGGAGCAAACAGG
rnacentral:rRNA from 1 species